GUGCGCUUUACCUAACCAAAAGGGAAAGUAUAGACCAAAAUGGCAGACGAUACUAACAACAUCGCCGAAGUGGGACAAACCAUGAAAAAUACGAACAAUGUGACGCCGAAUCGUAAAACAAAUACAUAGUAAUAAACAAUGAAGAAGACACAGAAUCCAGUAAUGUUUGCAGUAAUGGCCCACUCAGAUGAAGAUUCAAUCAAUGGUGGUUACUCAAGAUGUAGGGUAGAGUGUCACUUGACAGCUAGAACAUUAUGGCAUGCAGGCAGGAGUCUUGGUUUGCAUUUAUCCUGCCUGUGCUGAUCAAACUGCAUGUGGACUUGUAUCAAACUUUUUCAAACAACCAUAGACCAGUGCUGUUUAUUCUUAAAGGCACUCAUAAAAAGGCGGUCAACCAAAUAAAAGAUCCACAGGCAGUGCUGGUUCCCUGCCCAAAUCAACAAACUGCACUGGUAACUUUAUGCUCUCACAAACUGAAGAUCUGUAUGCCAGUAGUUAUAC